rnacentral:tRNA from 1 species
UAGAAUGAAGCUCUCUGGAUUGAGCGUUUAGCUGUUAACUAAAACUUUGCGGGAUCAAGGCCCGUCCUUCUAG